AGUGAACGCUGGCGGCAGGCCUAAUACAUGCAAGUCGAACGGCAGCACAGCAGAGCUUGCUCUGUGGGUGGCGAGUGGCGGACGGGUGAGGAAUACAUGGGAAUCUGCCCAGUCGUGGGGGAUAACGUAUGGAAACGUACGCUAAUACCGCAUGCGCCCUACGGGGGAAAUCGGGGACCGCAAGGCCUGACGCGAUUGGAUGAGCCCAUGUUCGAUUAGCUAGUUGGCGGGGUAAAGGCCCACCAAGGCGACGAUCGAUAGCUGGUCUGAGAGGAUGAUCAGCCACACUGGAACUGAGACACGGUCCAGACUCCUACGGGAGGCAGCAGUAGGGAAUAUUGGACAAUGGGGGCAACCCUGAUCCAGCCAUGCCGCGUGAGUGAAGAAGGCCCUCGGGUUGUAAAGCUCUUUUGUCCGGAAGAAAGCAAUCGGUUAAUACCCGGUUGUCCUGACGGUACCGGAAGAAUAAGCACCGGCUAACUUCGUG
rnacentral:rRNA from 1 species